rnacentral:snRNA from 1 species
GCGCUGGCUUUGGCAGCACAUAUACUAAACUUGGAACGAUACAGAGAUUAGCAUGGCCCUUGUACAAGGAUGACAUGCAACUUCAUGAAGUGUUCCCUAUUUAA